rnacentral:snoRNA from 1 species
CAGACAGACACAGAAACUUAGAAAAAGCUGACAAUAGUGAUGCCAUUUUAUAAGCCUUAAGGAUAGCUGAGGUCAUUAAGGUUCCUAAAAAUGGCUACAAUG